CGGCUCCUUAUAUCCAAUGCCAUGCAAUGGAUAAUUAGAUUUUCUUUUGUGGCUUGACUUAAGAUAUAGGCCUCAUUGGCCCAUGAUAGAUAUACGAAAGGAAAGAAGUUCAUGUAGGACUCGAGAGUACCCACAUCCAAAAGAAAGAAAGAAUAAAGUAAUCAAUAUAUGUGCAAAGAUCGAUAUUUAAAGAUAAAGGGUAUCAUUAAGAGAGCACUCUAGUCAAUCAGGACAAUAACAAGUUAUGGUAUAUUUAAAAAGAUUCGACUUAUCCAUAAAAGGGUAGUUGAUCUAUUUCUUGAACAAGUUUAAGGAUUAAAUCGGUUGUGACAUGAUUAGCUAAUUCUUGAGGAGAAAUGACAUAGGCCCAUGCAUAUUUCAGUUAUCCUAGUAGUAAUAAACAAAGAAGAAGAUUCAAACUUGUAACUUGACCUAUUUAAAUUACUGUAGCAAAGACCAGAGAAAAAAAAAGGCAAAAAUUAAAUUGGUAUUCUGCAAAAUCUCAUGGCCCAUAUCCAUAUCACUAUCUAUUGACCAAAUAAAUGUUUUGUUCAUUCAUUUUCAUUCAUAAUUGAAAAGUAAAAAGACUUUAUAAUUCAUAAAAAAAGAAUUAUUAUCUGUUAGCACAUCUUCAUCUAAACUUACACUAGGCAACAAAAUUUCAGCACAUGGUCAUAGAAGAAAACCAUACUUAUUUGCUUCGAGCAUCCUAGAUAUAAUUCACAGAGUUAAAAGAUCGUAAACCUCAAACCAAAGAAAGAAGAAAAAUAUCAUGCUCUCACUUGGUUGGCAAAUUAACAUAUUUUUACAAAAAGUUGGGUAUGUAUACUUGCAUUAGGCGUGGAAUAUGAUACUUAAAACUAAAAUAGUAUAAAAGUUCCUUACAAACUCACUAAGAGAUCUAAGACCACAACAAUUUCCUUGAAAAAAAAAAACUAGAACCUUUUGCCACUCCAUGGCAAGUCUUAUAGUGACCAAGUAACUCUACAUCGUGGCAAAAACAUGAACAGAAUAAGAAUGAGAUGGGUGACUCUUUACGAAAUCAAUAUUGGUAAUCUAGUAAGAUGACCAUAGCCUCAUCCCUUUUUUCUCGAUGUUAUCGACCAAAACAAAAUCCUCGGGAAUCAAACAAAUAGAACAAAGAGUUGAAAUGAACUCAAAAGGAAAAUGAAAGGUUCGAAUUUUGCAAUCCCACAACGAAGGGAACUCUGAGAUCAGGUAAACAAGAUUCAACAACCCAAAACUUAUAAAACGGAACCAAAACACGUAACCUUAAUCAUGAAACCAGGUAAACAAGAUUCCAACAGAACUUAUUAAGCACCAAAACAUAAGACUCUAACCAUUGAAUCAAGUAAACAAAAUUCCAGCAGCCCGAAACUUAUUAAACAAACCAAAAUACUAAACCUUACCCAUGAGAUCAGAUAUAAAAAGAUACCCGCAUCCUAAAAUUAUGAAACAAAUUCAAAGCACGAACUUUAAAUAGGAUCGGCUAUAAAAAGACACUAUUAGCCCUAAAACUAUUAAAACAUGAAAUUUUUACAUAAUAUUAACUAUAACAAGACACCGUCAGCUAGCAGUGAAGUGAAUCAGUGGAUUAAACCCAUGAUCAAUACCAAUGCACAGUAGUAAAUCGAAAGCUAAUUAACAAUGUUAAAAUCAAAUAAUAAAUUAUGAAAUCGAGAGAAGCAUAUGAGACUCAAGCGAUAAGCUUUAACAACUAAGCCAGCAAUUUAACAUCACACAUAAUCACACGACAAGCAAUAAUUUCAGUAAAACAUACUCAAUGGUCUUAAAGACCUCUACAACAGACAACCUCGCACGCAAGAUCAUUUAGAUUCAGAACUACAAAAGGUUGAGAUGAAGUAGACGCAAUCAAAAAUUAAAUGGAAUGAGCUAUUACCUGUCUCGAUACAGCAAAUGGGACUCGAGCCUACAAUGAAAGCUUAACCACUACUACUGGAAAGUUCUCAAACAAAAGGCUUCUUCACUCAAAACCAGCUAACUCAGAAAAUAUUUUUCCCCUUUCCAACCUCAAAAUUUCCACUCCCUAAUUUUCAAACUCUAAUUUUUGAACCCAGAUUUUUGAACCAGCCUAAAAAAAAAAAUUUCUUCAGUUUCUUUUUUCAAAAACCUAAAAUCUCUAACCCUCAAAUUUUCCAAUCCCCUUUCUUGAUCUAAAGAGGACUACUUAUAGAAGGGGAUUGAGGGUUAAAUUUUUGAAAUUCAAAAGAUGAGGGUCCUAACAAAUCGUACCCCCUAUUUGGAUUUUUCCUCAACAAAUCUGAAUAGGUGGACCAAUAACAAUUCGGGAAAAUCAAAUCAUACUCCAAACCAAUGAAAAUCAACCAGAUAGGUACGAAUUCGUACCAUGGUACCCGAGAUUAAUAGGAUUGGAACGUUGGAGAGAGCCAAUGCAAUAAUUUUUUGGAAGCUUCUAGACUUUCCUUGUACGGAUUUCACGUGGGACUCAUGAAGAAAGUGAAAACGAAAUGGUCCUGAGUCUGGUUGGUUGUUUGUCAUGAUUUGGAAUUGGGUUAUCAGGUCGAUGGGUUUGGGUUUUUCAUAGUAGUUGGAGUGGUUGGUCAUUUUUACGAGAUUGGGUACUGCUGUUUUGUUUGUUGAGUCAGAUAAAGAAGAAAGGAGUUUGGGCCGAGUUGGAUUCCUUAUUGGAUUGGGUUGUUGAUUGUAAUUGUUGUUAAAUUGGAUUGGUGGGCUGCUGACAUUAGAGAAUUGGGCCUGUGGCUGUUAAGGAAUAGAUGAAGGGAGAUUGGGCCUGAAAUUGGGGUUAUUUAAUAACCCUUAUUAAAUCUAAUUGGGUUAUUAAAUAACCCUAAUUAAAUUUAAUUAGAUUAGAAUAAUCAUAAUUAAAUUUAAUUUGAUUAAGAAUAACACAAAUUAAAUUUAAUCGGAUUAAAAUAAUCCCAAUUAAGAAAUGGUAACUGGGGAUUAAGAUUAUAAUUUAGGAAACUUAUUUAAACUCUAACCAAAUUGAAUAUCUCAUCGGUCAAUUACAUUACAAUUGGGGCCAAUUUGAUUUCAAUUAGAGUCAAAUUUAAUAAAUUGACCAAAUCAAAUUAAAAUUCGAUACGAAUUAACACCUUGUUUAAUCAUGAGCUUCUUGAUUCGAUAAAAUUGAAUAAAUAUUUUUCCAAAUAUAUUAUUUUUCAAAAUAAAUCAUAUUUAAAUCAAGAUUUAAACCAUUUGAAUUUAUUUUCAAAAUAAUCCUUGAUUAAAAUCUGAUAUUCCAUAAAAUAGUUAUUUAAGUAAUAAAAUUACAUAAUUUCGUAUAAUUGAAUACGAUAAUGUAUAAUCGUCACUUAAAAUGACAAACUUACCCUGAUGAAUUUUUUUGAAAAGUUUCUAUUCAGACGAAAUAAAUAUUUCAUUUUCUUAAAAAUCGAAGAAGCUCAAAAUUAAACUUGGUUGUAGAGGGAAAAAAUUAGGUGUCAACAAUUACUCCCUCCCUUUGGGUAGGAUGGAUGCAAGUAAUCCUGGGCAAAGGGAGGUUGACGUUCCUAAUUUUUGUCCGACCAUAAAUUUGUAUCUAAGAGAGGUUGGUUUUCCGCACGAGUUUCAUGGAGUUAUGGCCAAACCUCGGUAUCAGAUUUCCUAUACAUCUCAAGUUUCAUGAGAAUUUGGGCGACUUGUAGUUCAUAAAGCUUGAUUGCAAGAACGAUUUUCAAGAAAAUUUCACAAGCUAUCUCAGUUUUAAAGUUUUUGAUAAAACUGAAAAGCAGGGAAAUGGAGGGAUUUGGGGGGGAGGUUGGAAUGUAGUCGAGUUUUCUACAUAGAUCUCAGCCUACAUAUCCUCGAGACUCAGGAAAUCAGACUGCUUGUAGUUUGACUCAAUCGGUAAAAAAGAUAGUCUUUUAUUUUAGACGAUCUUUGGCUCAAGAUGAGUGACAAGUUGAUCGAGUUUUGGAAAAGAGGCUUAUAACUUCUUAACCAUGAACGUGGAGAUCUUCACAUCCAUAGUUAAGAAUUUAUCUGGACAUAAUUUCCAGACUCUGGGUGUGUUGUCACUCGGAUUUGAAAAAAGAGAAGUUUACCCUCGGUAUGAGUUUAGAAAUAUCUCAAAGGUGAAGCGGAAACUAGAAUAUCCCAAAAAUACCCACAUGCCUUCUAAUAGGGGUGUGGUUAGAUGGUGGUGGUGAUCAUUCUUUAGCUCGCAUCCAGAGAGUUUAAUGUCCCUCUCUAGACUAUGUCCUAUUUUGCUGCUAAGAAAGAGUUCCACAUUAUGUUGCGUCCUUUUUGGAGUCGUCCGCACCUGUGGGUUUGAUUUGAUAUUUUUAUCCUCUUAGAUGCUCUCGACAAUAUAUCAAACAAAAUUGUUAGUGCUAAACAUAAUUCACGAAAAAGGCAUAUAGUUUUUUACCAUAUCUCCAUGUGAGUUGUUGCCUAAAAAGUGAAGUCAUCCUUUCAUGUAACUAUUUGGAAUGAAAUAAAUGGCAACGACAAACACAACAACCAUCUUGGUUGUUGUAUAAUUAUGACAUUUGUCGGUUGAAUAUGUCUUCAAAGUGGGGCGUCCCUUUUGGACACCGAUGACACUUUAUGCAGAACGAUCCCUGCAAUCAUGUAAUCUUGUGCUAGUGUGGCAACCCUUUUGGUUACCUAUAUCACUUGUUGUAUGUAGAAUGAUAACCUCUCAAGUUAUAGCCGAUGAUUUAUAAAUUUCCCUUAAAUUGUCAAUCUUUGGAUAAUCUUGCGCAUUAUUUGAUGUUGGAUACUAGGCGACUUACAGAUAUCCUUUGAAUUGCUAUCUUUUAGGAAAUCCUGCACAUUAUCCAACAUUGGAUAAGAGAUGGCUUACAAGUAUCCCUCCAAUCGCUUGCUUUCAGGUGUUCCUGCACAUCAUCCGAUCUUGGAUACAAUAUGACUUAUAGAUAUCUCUCAAAUUGUUAGUCCUUGGGUAAUCCUACAAAUAAUCGAUCUUGGAUAUGAUGCGGCUUAUAGAGAAUCGUUGAACGUAUCAAUUUGAUAAUUUUGCAUAUUCUUCAGUAAGGAUUUAGUUGCGACUUAUGGAUAACCUUCAGACUAUCAAUUUUUGGGUGAUCUUGCACACUAUCCAGUUAAGAUGUUGUUGUGGCUUACAGAUAACCUACAGACUAUCAAUUCAUAGGUUAUCUUGCACACUAUCCUAUUUCAAAUAAUAUAACUUAUAGAUGACCCUCAAAUUAUCAAUUUCUAGGAAAUCUCAUAUAUCGUUUGUCUUUAGACACCAACUUGAAGGCGUCCCUUCAAAUCGUGUGCUCUUGAUGCAUUCAGAUGCUAAUUCAUAAAAUGAUGAGAUAUCCUCGAUGCCAGCAUUUAUGUCUAGCGUGUCAAUAGAUAUUAAAUACUUAUGAUAUCCUCGAUGCCAGCAUUUAUGUCUCGCGUGUCAACAGAUAUGAACUGAUGAUGAUGUCCUCGAUGCCAGCAUUUAUGUCUUGCGUGUCAACAGAUAUAAAAUGUCCUUCUCAACAAAUGAUAUGAAUGGCCCUCUUGGAAAUGAUAUGAAUGGCCCUCUUGAAAAUGAUAUGAAAUGGCCCUCUUGACAAUGAUAUGCAAUGGACCUCUUGGCAAUGAUAUGCAAUGGCCCUAUUGGCAAUGAUAUGCAAUGGCCCUCUUAGCAAUGAUAUGUAAUGGACCUCUUGGAAAUGAUAUGAAAUGGCCCUCUUGGCAAUGAUAUGCAAUGGCCCUCUUGGAAAUGAUAUGCAAUAGCCCUCUUGGCAAUGAUAUAAAAUGACCCUCUUGGCAAUGAUAUGCAAUGGCCCUCUUGAAAAUGAUAUGAAAUAGCCCUCUUGGAAAUGAUAUGAAAUGGCCAUCUUGGCAAUGAUAUGAAAUGGCCCUCUUGGUGAUUUAAAAAUAGUUUCACUUGAGUUCAUUUGUCAGCGUCUUGCUUUCUACAUGUACCUGUACUCAAGGUAGACGAUUAGUAGACACAAAGUCUCUUUUGCUAGCGACUAUUUUUUAGAAAAUUCUAAAUACAAUAUUUGUAAAAAAAACAAGACACUUUUGUUUGUCCUCCAUGAUCUCAAGAAAUAAUAUGGACAAUUCAAAAGGUCCUUAAUAAAUGGGUAUUAAACCUAUUUUUAGGGCUGCCCAAAAAAUACCGUUCUUCAGCAUUACUGCUCUGGUGUGGCUCCCAAUUUGCUCAGGGAUUUUUGAAAGAGACUCUCAUUUUUGUAUAUUGGUCCCUGCAUCCACAGAAAAAUAAUUAGUUUGAGUGAAACUACUCCGUGUUGACCUUCUUUGAUUCUCCAUUUUGCUCCUCGCUAUCUUUUAGGUGCCUCGUCACAUUGGUACCUCCACUCUGGGUCCUUGCUCCCAUAGACGCCCAGGCAAUCACUAAGUAAAAGUUUUGUAAGGAUUUUUCUUUUUCAAAAGUAGUCUUAUUUUUAGCAAAUAGUUUCAAAAGUAUCUGUAAAAGCUUUAGACAAUUUCUGCCGGUCAUGUCAUGUACUAGCUCAACGAACGUCUUUCUCGUGGUUUUGACUAUCUGAUGAAUGAUUUCCAAAACUCAUGAUCAUUGUUGGAGGGUUCGUCAAAUAGUUUUUGUCAUAGCCAGAAAUUAAGUCUACCUAGACUUUUUCCCAGUUGGUGUCUUCAAAAGCUUGGUUUUAACCUCUGGUGCCGGAGAAUUUGAAAUAUAUUCAAGUAUUUGGUGGAAAUUUUAAGCCCUCCCUCAAAAUUUCUGCCCCAGUUUAAAGUAGUUUGAGAUGAUAUCAUCUCGAGCGGAUCUGAAGUCUUUGCUGAUCUUCAUUGUCUUUGUUGGAUGUUGAUCUUUUCUUGUGAAUUUUCAAGAUUUCUUCUCGAAAAUUCUGCCCCAGUUUCCAUUUCCUGGGGUUAAUGACCAAGUCGUUCGGGCGCCUACGUAUCCCGUUGAAGCAGGAAUUAAUUCAAUCAUAGUUCAAGACUACGCUAAGGAUAUAUAGAAAAAUCUAAUGGGUUGAUCGAAGCUAACAUAGGCUGCCUACGUAUCCCUUUUGUUGGGAAUUCAGGUCAUCACGUAGUUCAUACAUAAAAAGAAAGGAUAAAUUUUCCCAAGGGGUUGACCGAAGCCGACAUAGGCCGCCUACGUAUCCCUUUCUUGGGAAUUCAAGUCAAACGUAGUUCGUACAUAAAAAUAAAGGGGUUCUAGGAAACUACACACUAGAAAAAAACAUUAUUAGAAAGGCGAUUAAAAGUAAACUAAGGAAACAAAAAAGCUAUAACAUCUUUCAAGCAGAACAUCUCUUUAGCGCAUCAGAAUUGAUUGGUUUGGUCCACUCUUGACCAUCUAUCUCAAGUAGGAUUAGGGCUUCUCCAGGUUGGGCUUCUUUUGAUUUUCACAUUCCUCUAUAUCUACUACUAGCUACUCCUCAUCACCUUUUCUGUUCAUCAUUAUUUCCUUUGCCUUAUUCGUCUAACCCUUGACAUGACAUGACAUUGGUAGGUUUUUAAAUUAUUGCUAUCAAAAUAAAUCAUGCUACAUAAUUAUAUUUUUUAAAAAAAAACUUCUUAAAUAAAGGGAGGCCUUUGGGAAAAUAAAUAAAAACUAUGGCUCAUGACCCACACAAAUAUGGGCCUAUGCCUUUUGAAAGUUGUAAAACACGAAAUAAAAAUUUGAGACAUAAAAGGGUGGAUCACGGGACCUCCUCUAGAUCAUUACCGAUUUUAAAAACUAUUAGUAAUUGUCCUUUCACCUACCACAAUGGAUGACGAGUUAUGAGUGGAGUGGAGGUCCAGUUUUGCAAGGCCUCCCCUGAUGCAGUCUUCUUUACCCCACCGGACUCUGGGAAAUCAUCUAGUAGAGCAUUGUAUCCUUUGAACAGAUCUCCUAUCCCAUCCUUAAGACCAUCAUCGUUUGACAUCUCAUGUACGGGAAAUGACUGGUACAAGAGCAGCAGGGGCCUAAACAGACUCUCCUUUGAAUUAUCUCCGAUCUCAUCUUUCUUUCUUGGUUGGUACUCUAUUCCAUGCUUAAAACCUUUUUCUGGGACCAUAACAGGUUCGAUAAUUCUUUCCAAAUCCUUACUUAAGGUGGCCAUGACUUUCUCUAUCUUCUUCACCUCUUUUGUUCUUUUGGGUCCUUCUGAAUUUACCUUAGUGAUGGUCUUGCUAGACAUCCAGUCACUCUCUAUUUCAAUCAUGUUAACAGUAGGUCCCCCAUUGUUAGGCAAUGGAUUACUGUUAAUAUUUGGUAUCGACGACUGAAGCAUGAUAACUUUCUGAUCAAUCAAAUAUUGGAUCUUAUAUUUAAAGUUAAUACAAUCCUCGAUACUGUGCCCCACUGCUCUUGAAUGAUAGGCAUAAUUUUGAUCGAGAUGAUAAAAUUGAGAGUUGGUAUUGAUAGUCUUUGGCUGGAUUGGUUGCAAAUAACCAGCUUUUAUCAAUCUUCCAAAGAGCUGAGUACGCCUUUCAGCUAGCGGCGUGAAGUUUCGGGGAGGUUUCUUUUCAAAGUUUGGACGUGGAGGGUUAUAAUGGUUAUGAUCUAUAGGCGGAGGUACUUGAUGAUAAUUUGGAGACGUUUGGACGUUUGUUUGGUUAUUUAGAAAUUAGCUUGAGUAUAAGGCUGAUAAUUUGGCUGUGGAACUUGGCACUAGGGUAAAAUAUUUUGAAUUGAAGCUUGACAUUGGGGUUGAGCGUAGAAUACAAGCUGAAAACUUGGUGAUGAUGAGGAAAGAAUAUUCCUAGGCUUGAAUUUCCUCUUUAACUUAUCAACAGAAUUAGUAGAGACCGCAGUCGCAUCCUCUCUUUUCUUCUUUGAGAAUGCAGAAAAUUCAGAUGAUGUUGGGAUUUUGGUAAUUUUUCCUGUUCGAAUGCCUUCCUCUAACGAUUCCCUAUUCUUUACUAAAUUUCCGAAAGUUGCUCGGACCUCGGAUACCAUCCUGGUAUAAAAUUCUCCUUCCUAUGCAUUAGAGAAAACCGAUACCAUUUCUUCCUCAGACAUGGGAGGUUGUACUUUAGCAGCUUCUUUUCUCCAAUUAAAUGUGUAGUCUCAAAAACACUCAUUAUUCUUCUAUUUGAUCCGGUCUAGUGAGUAUCGAUCAGGGACUAUCUCAAUGUUAAAUGUGAACCUGCCAAUGAAACCCUUGGCCAAUGCUUUCCAACCAGUCCAUCUUUUCAGUUCCUGAGACAUGAACCAUUUUAAGGCUUCGCCACUUAAACUCCGGCUGAACAAACGUAUCAAUAAUGCUUUAUUUUUCCCUACCCUCACCAUUUGAUCACAAUACCUUCUCAGAUGGGUCAUUGGAUUUUCGAUGCCAUCGAAUACUUCAAAUUUAGGGACCUUAUACCCUUCUGGUAGAUCUAUUCCAGGAUGAACACAUAAAUCAUCAUACCCUAAACCGUCGUGGUUCCUCGCUCCAUAAGAUUCUUUGAUCCUUAUAAUCUCUUUAUUCAUAGCUAGCAACUUCAGUUCAUGCUCGAUCCUCCACUCUUUUUCCUUAUCCUCGUAAUGGUCCAUCUCAGGAUUAGGAAGGGAAUUAUAGAUGUCAGGGGAUAUGAUGGCAUGAGGAGGAUUUGGAAGGGAGGCUUGAUUUUGCGGAUGAAAGAAAGUUGGUUGAUAGGUGGGGAGGACAUUUUGGAAAUUGGAAAGGUUUUGUAGAAUUUGUGAGUAGCUUGGUGGAAUCUGAGAAGGAUUUUGCAAAUUUAGAAAUGAAUUUGGUGGAUUUGGGGAUAGAUUUGUUGGAGUUUGCGGGUUUGGGAGUGAAUCUUGUGGAUUUGGGAAUGAAUUUUCGUGAUUUGAAAAUAUGUUCUGGGGAUUUAGGAAUAGAUUCGGAGAUGGGUUUUAUGGGGUUAGAGAUGAAUUUUAUGGAUGGUAGGCAUCUGGAUUAUUUUUGCGAAUGGUGUUUUGGAAAAAUGGAGGAGCGGGGACGGACGAUAUAUUAUUUGGCUAAUUCCCAAGAAUAAGUGUACUGAGGGGAGGAAUUUAGAGUGGAGUCUCAUGUCCUCCUGGAGCAGGGGCAUUGACAGUGAUAGCUAGGUUAGCCAAAUCUCGAGUGCGAUUUAUUUCCUCAUGAAGCAUUUCUAACUUUCUUGCGAGUUCCGCAAUCAUCUCACUCUGUUCCGCUAUUACAUUGUCUCUGAUAGUCAAUGUGUUUUCUUUGUCAUUUCCAGUCAUUUUUGAAUGAUGGUCAGAGGAUGGAAUUUUGUGCGCUUUUCACCGGGUGAAGUAGGAAUGUUCUGCCAGCUUAUUUCAACAUGGAGUAGUUUUCUAUUAUCUGUAAAGUAAAACAACUCAAAGGAAAACGUGUUAGUUUCCACAUGUGAUAAACAAUGCAAAAACAUGACAAGAAAUAGCCACGUAGAGUCGUUUAUGUCAUAGUCAAAUUCAUUCAUAGGAGCAUAGCAGAUAAACUUGCCUUUGAUCCAAACAAAUGCACAUAAGCACAUAAUACAGUUAUAUCACAUAAAAACAUUAUAAUAAUGUGUAUCCUAACUGGGGUGACCCUUUUGAGCCAAGGGUUUGGGCCUAACGAUUUUUUAAGAAAAAUAUAUGCUUGCUUAAGGUCAAUCCAUUAUCCCCCAACUAUUAUAGACACUAAAAUGGCAUAAAUGCCUACAAAAGAUAACCAAAAAAGGAUACAAUCUUUAGGGAAAAGGGAAAUAACAUGAAAUAAAACACGUUCCCACACACAGGGGAUACAAAUACUAAUUCCUAAGUGCUUCUUCUAUUAGCCUUUACCUUCUUAGCUUCAUCCAUUUCCUAUAUUGGUGAUGUCCCUUGACGUUCAAACUGUGCCUUAGAUACAACCUCCCAAAUUGAUCAAUUUCUUGCUUAACUUGCUCCAAUUCUUCUUACGAAGUAAGCAAAUCAAGCUUUUUCCCGACUCUCAAAGGAUAAUAGAUUGAAUUAGACAGGCAUACCUUUCUUCAACACAUAAAUAUGGUUCGUCUAUAAUUGACUCGAGGUCAAUAGACGCAGGGUAGAUUUUCUAAUGGGCCCAAUACCCCGUUCGACUAUUGGGUCAUCCUAGGCUCAUGCCUAAAAUAGGAUUUUGAUUUCGUUCUAUCCUAGGUGUUUAGAGUGGGUUUGAACACUAGUUCUCAAGUGGGCAACUUGAGUUUUAAAAUAUGAACAGCCAUCAGACGACUCACGUGCUAAUAAGCCGUUCGUAUUUCCAACACAUUUUUGGAAUUAAACAACAGGGGUCGGUACUCUACGAAACCACCAAAACAGUUUAAAUAAUGCAAGAAUAUGUCAUGAGAUGUGAUAGUUAAACUUUAAAGAAUCGAAACAUAUAAACACAUAAACAGUUAAUCAAAAGAGGAAAUCAAAUAUUUGGUUAGAACCUAAUUUCAAAAUUCCCCAGCAGAGUUGCCAUUUCUGUUUUGCAGAAAUUUUGACUUUUGAAAGAGUCACCACUUAAAUUUGAAAAGGAAUUAAGAAACCUUUAGAGAUCUACUUCAAACGAUUCAAAAUAGGAAAAUCAUUUUCAGUUAGAAAUUCUAGAUAAGUGGUUCCUAUUAACGUUUUAGGAAGGUGUUAGGCACCUAAAACGUCCGCUAACUUGCAGUUAUCCGAUCUGUUUGAAAGAAUUCUUUUGAUUAACUUUGGAAAAUCGGUUUGUUUGGAAAAGUAAUUGAUUAAGGAAAAGGUUUUCGCUAAAUCAGUUUUUUAGCGACUUAGUUAGGGAUUUAACUAGGUUCGCAAAGAAACACGUUAACAAGUAAACGAAAGGAAAAGGGGAAAAAGCGGGGAAGUAGUGAUUUAGGCUUUUAAGCCCAAACCGUCGACCCUGCUCUAAUCUAGUUGGGUUUUCGACCCAUUUUCACCUGUCCUAAUUUUAUGUUUUUGAGCCUUUAGCUCGAGUCUCGCUUCACCUGUAUUAAGUACAACUUUGGAUUCGAGGCCCAAAUGAAUAAAUAAGAAAAUAAAUAAAUAAAUAAAUAAAUAAAUAAAUAAAUAAAUAAAGACGACAAUAAGUAAAUAGACAAAAUAACAAAUGAGACUUUUGGGUCUCGUAGCUGCUUCAAAUGAUAGGACUUUAAUCAAUUUUCUUCUUCCGACUCCUUAUAUCUAAUGCCAUGCAAUGGAUACUUGGAUUUUCUUUCAUGGCUUGACUUAAGAUAUAGGCCUCAUUGGCCCAUGAUAGAUAUGCGAAAGGAAAGAAGGAGAGUACCCACAUGCGAAAGUAAGAAAGAAUAAAGUAAUCAAUAUAUGUGCAAAGAUCGAUAUUUAAAGAUAAAGGGUAUCAUUAAGAGAGCACUCUAGUCAAUCAGGACAAUAAUAAGUUAUGGUAUAUUAAAAAAAAUUCGACUUAUCCAUAAAAGGGUAGUUGAUCUAUUUCUUGAACAAGUUUAAGGAUUAAAUCGGUUGUGACAUGAUUAGCUAAUUCUUGAGGAGAAAUGACAUAGGCCCAUGCAUAUUUCAGUUAUCCUAGUAGUAAUAAACAAAGAAGAAGAUUCAAACUUGUAACUUGACCUAUUUAAAUUAUUGUAGCAAAGACCAGAGAAAAAAAAAGGCAAAAAUUAAAUUGGUAUUCUGCAAAAUCUCAUGGCCCAUAUCCAUAUCACUAUCUAUUGACCAAAUAAAUGUUUUGUUCAUUCAUUUUCAUUCAUAAUUGAAAAGUAAAACGACUUUAUAAUUAAUAAAAAAAAAAAUAUAUUAUCUGUUAGCACAUCUUCAUCUGAACUUACACUAGGCAACAAAAUUUUAGCACAUGGUCAUAGAACAAAACCAUACUUAUUUUCUUCGAGGAUGCUAGAUAUAAUUCACAGAGUUACAAGAUCAUAAACCUCAAACCAAAGAAAGAAGAAAAAUAUCACACUCUCACUUGAUUGGCAAAUUAACAUGUUUUUACAAGAAGUUGGGUAUGUAUACUUGCAUUAGGCGUGGAAUAUGAUACUUAAAACUAAAAUAGUAUAAAAGUUCCUUACAAACUCACUAACAUGUCUAAGACCACAACAAUUUCCUUGAAAAAAAAAACUAGAACCUUUUGCCACUCCAUGGCAAGUCUAAUAGUGACCAAUUAAUUCUACAUCGUGGCAAGAAUAUGAACAAAAUAAGAAUGAGACAGGUGACUCUUUACGAAAUCAAUAUUGGUAAUCUAGUAAGAUGAACAUAGCCUCAUCCCUCCUUUCUCGAUGUUAUCGAUCAAGAAAAAAAUCCUCGGGAAUCAAACAAAUAGAACACUGACUUGAAAUGAACUCAAAAGGGAAAUGAAAGGUUCGAAUUUUGCAAUCCCACAAUGAAGGAAACUCUUAGAUAAGGUAAACAAGAUUCAGCAACCCAAAACUUAUAAAACAGAACCGAAACACGAAACCUUAACCGUGAAACCAGGUAAACAAGAUUUCAAUAGAACUUAUUAAGCACCAAAACACGAGACUCUAACCAUUGAAUCAAGUAAACAAAAUUCCAGCAGCCCAAAACGUAUUAAACAAACCAAAAUACUAAACCUUACCUAUGAGAUCAGAUAUAACAAGAUACCCGCAUCCUGAAACUAUGAAACAAAUUCAAAGCACGAACUUUAAAUAGGAUCGGCUAUAACAAGACAUAUUAGCCCUAAAACUAUUAAAACAUGAAACUUUUACGUAAUAUUAACUAUAACAAGACACCGUCAGCUAGCCAGUGAAGUGAAUCGGUGGAUUAAACCCACGAUUAAUACCAAUGCACAGCAGCAAAUUGAAAGCUAAUUAGCAAUGUUAAAAUCAAAUAACAGAUUACGAAAUCAAGACAAGCAUAUGAGACUCAAGAAAUAAUUUUUAACAACUAAGCCGGCAAUUUGACAUCACACAUAAUCACACGACAAGCAACAAUUUCAGCAAAACAUACUCUAUGUUCUUAAAAACCUCUACAACAGACAACCCCGCACGCAAGAUCAUUUAGAUUUAGAACUCUAGAAGGUUGAGAUAAAGUAGACGCAAUCAAAAAUUAAACGGGAUGAGCUAUUACCUAUCUCGAUGCAGCAAACGGGACUCGAGCCUACAAUGAAAGCUUAACCACCACUACUGGAAAGUUCUCAAAGAAAACACUUCUUCACUAGAAACCAGCUAGCUCAGAAAAUAUUUUUCCCCUUUCCGACCCCAAAAUUUUCACUCUCCAAUUUUGAGACUCUAAUUUUUGAAUCCAGAUUUUUGAACUAGCCUCAAAAAAAAAUUCUUCAGUUUCUUUUUUCAAAAACCUAAAAUCUCUAACCCUCAAAUUUUCCAAUCCCCUUUCUUGCUCUAAAGAGGACUACUUAUAGAAGGGGGUUGAGGGUUAAAUUUUUGAAUUUCAAAAGAUGAGGGUCCUAACAAAUCAUACCCCCUAUUUGGAUUUUUCCUCAACAAAUCCGAAUAGGUGGACCAAUAACAAUUCGGAAAAAUCAAAUCAUACUCCAAACCAAUGAAAAUCAACCAGAUAGGUAUGAAUUCGUACCAUGGUACCCGAGAUUAAUAGGAUUGGAACGUUGGAGAGAGCCAAUGCAAUAAUUUUUUGGAAGCUUCUAGACUUUCCUUGUACGGAUUUUGCGUGGGACUCGUGAAGAAAGUGAAAACGAAAUGGUCCUGAGUCUGAUUGGUUGGUUGUCAUGAUUUGGAAUCGGGUUAUCGGGUCGAUGGGUUCGGGUUUUUCAUAGUUGUUGGAGUGGUUGGUCGUUUUUGCGAGAUUGGGUACUGUUGUUUUGUUUGUUGAGUCAGAUAAAGAGGAAAGGUGUUUGGGCCGAGUUGGAUUCCUUAUUGGAUUGGGUUGUUGAUUAUAAUUGUUGUUAAAUUGGAUUGGUGGGCUGCUGACAUUAGAGAAUUGGGCCUGAAGCUGUUAAGGAAUAGAUGAAGGAAGAUUGGGC
rnacentral:lncRNA from 1 species